rnacentral:rRNA from 1 species
GACGGAGGGUGCAAGCGUUGCUCGGAAUUAUUGGGCGUAAAGGGUGCGUAGGCGGCUCCUUAAGUCUGACGUGAAAGCCCAGGGCUCAGCCUUGGAAGUGCGCCAGAAACUGUGGAGCUAGAGUGCCGGAGGGGAGAGUGGAAUUCCUGGUGUAGCGGUGAAAUGCGUAGAUAUCAGGAGGAAUAUCGGUGGCGAAAGCGACUCUCUGGACGGUAACUGACGCUGAGGCAAGAAAGCGUGGGUAGCAAACAGG